rnacentral:tRNA from 1 species
GCCGUUAUAUAUAUAAUAAACGUAGAUAACUUAUCAACACUGGUUCUAUGGUCUAGUGGUCAGGACAUUGGACUCUGAAUCCAGUAACCCGAGUUCAAAUCUCGGUAGAACCUC